AAAACGACUCUCGGCAAUGGAUAUCUCGGCUCUCGCAUCGAUGAAGAGCGCAGCGAAAUGCGAUACGUGGUGCGAAUUGCAGAAUCCCGCGAACCAUCGAGUCUUUGAACGCAAGUUGCGCCCGAGGCCAACCGGCUGAGGGCACGUCUGCCUGGGCGUCAAGCG
rnacentral:rRNA from 1 species